UAUUUUAUUAAUAUUGAUCUUAUUUAUGAUAUGUUUAUGAAUUAUUGUCUAAAUAUUUUGAAAUUUUGUAGUAAUUAACUGGUAUCAAAUAUCUCAACGGUUUGAUGCUUAUAAUCGAAUUGUUAUAGUUAUGCAAAA
rnacentral:sRNA from 1 species